rnacentral:piRNA from 1 species
AAGGGCCUUGUGCAAAGGAUUAAUCCAAGA